rfam:Micromonospora krabiensis strain DSM 45344 genome assembly, chromosome: I
GCUGGCGUAGCUCAGCGGCCAGAGCACCCGGUUGUCAGCCGGGCGGUUCGCGGGUUCGAGUCCCGUCGUCAGCG